rnacentral:rRNA from 1 species
GUUAGGAAUAUUGGACAAUGGGCGAAAGCCUGAUCCAGCCAUGCCGCGUGAACGAUGAAGGCCUUCGGGUUGUAAAGUUCUUUAGCCGAUGAUUAUAAUGACUGUAGUCGGAAAAUAAGCCCCGGCUAACUUCGUGCCAGCAGCCGCGGUAAUACGAAGGGGGCGAGCGUUAUUCGGAAUCACUGGGCGUAAAGCGUGCGUAGGCGGUUUUGUAAGUUAGGAGUGAAAGCCCAGGGCUCAACCUUGGAAUUGCUCUUAAAACUGCAAGGCUCGAAUCUCGGAGAGGAUAGCGGAAUUUCCAGUGUAGCAGUGAAAUGCGUAGAUAUUGGAAGGAACACCAGUGGCGUAAGCGGCUAUCUGGACGAGUAUUGACGCUGAGGCACGAAAGCGUGGGGAUCAAACAGGAUUAGAUACCCGUGUAGUCC